rnacentral:rRNA from 1 species
UUUGGAGGGCAAGUCUGGUGCCAGCAGCCGCGGUAAUUCCAGCUCCAAUAGCGUAUAUUAAAGUUGUUGCAGUUAAAAAGCUCGUAGUUGAAUUUCGGGGUUAGUAGGUUGGUCAUGCCUCCGGUAUGUACUGGCCUCACUGAUUCCUCCUUCCUGAUGAACCGUAAUGCCGAUUAAUCUG